CCAGAAGCCACUGAAGAAGUUGUUGAUGCAUUUUCCCAGUCCUUCUCCCCGUUUCGACUGCCGCAACGACUUGGAGACAAGAAGCCUUCUACAGACUCGGAUCUAAAUGCAAAUGGAAUGGAAACAGUGAAAAUGAAGUCAUUCUGGACUCUACCUUGAAGUGAAGUCAGAACUACACGAACUGUCCAAGAUGUUUGUUUUGGCUGCAUUCAAGACAGGAAUUGAAGGCAUAUCGUUCACAGGAACACCUACUACCUCCUUGCGGACGAAUGACACGAGGCUGCACAAACGAGGGCUUCACAACUUCAAACCACCAGAAGAGCUCUGCCAUGAACACCAAGUAAUUACUCUACAUAAGAGAGUUAAGAAAAGGAGAAAAAUCAGAUUUAUUUAUUUUAGAGAGUGAGCCAUGAGUGGAGAA